rnacentral:tRNA from 1 species
GGCUUCAUAGCUCAGUGGUUAGAGUGCUGGCCUUCUAAAUCAGAGGUGGCAAGUUUGAUUGUUGCUGGGGCCU